rnacentral:rRNA from 1 species
AGUGAACGCUGGCGGUAGGCCUAACACAUGCAAGUCGAACGGCAGCACAGGAGAGCUUGCUCUCUGGGUGGCGAGUGGCGGACGGGUGAGGAAUACAUCGGAAUCUACUCUGUCGUGGGGGAUAACGUAGGGAAACUUACGCUAAUACCGCAUACGACCUACGGGUGAAAGCAGGGGACCUUCGGGCCUUGCGCGAUUGAAUGAGCCGAUGUCGGAUUAGCUAGUUGGCGGGGAAAAGGCCCACCAAGGCGACGAUCCGUAGCUGGUCUGAGAGGAGGAUGAGCCACACUGGAACUGAGACACGGUCCAGACUCCUACGGGAGGAAGCAGUGGGGAAUAUUGGACAAGGGGCGCAAGCCUGAUCCAGCCAUACCGCGUGGGUGAAGAAGGCCUUCGGGUUGUAAAGCCCUUUUGUUGGGAAAGAAAUCCAGCUGGCUAAUACCCGGUUGGGAUGACGGUACCCAAAGAAUAAGCACCGGCUAACUUCGUGCCAGCCGCCGCCGUAA